rnacentral:rRNA from 1 species
GAUGAACGCUGGCGGCGUGCCUAAUACAUGCAAGUCGAGCGAAUGGAUUGAGAGCUUGCUCUUAUGAAGUUAGCGGCGGACGGGUGAGUAACACGUGGGUAGCCUGCCCAUAAGACUGGGAUAACUCCGGGAAACCGGGGCUAAUACCGGAUAACAUUUUGAACCGCAUGGUUCGAAAUUGAAAGGCGGCUUCGGCUGUCACUUAUGGAUGGACCCGCGUCGCAUUAGCUAGUUGGUGAGGUAACGGCUCACCAAGGCAACGAUGCGUAGCCGACCUGAGGGGGUGGUCGGCCACACUGGGACUGAGACACGGCCCAGACUCCUACGGGAGGCAGCAGUAGGGAAUCUUCCGCAAUGGACGAAAGUCUGACGGAGCAACGCCGCGUGAGUGAUGAAGGCUUUCGGGUCGUAAAACUCUGUUGUUAGGGAAGAACAAGUGCUAGUUGAAUAAGCUGGCACCUUGACGGUACCUAACCAGAAAGCCACGGCUAACUACGUGCCAGCCGCCGCCGUAA